ensembl:lncRNA
GAAGAGCCUAGGGACGCCAGAGAGGAGCCUCGCCGAUGCCACAUGCUCUGAGUUCCUCCUACCGCGCCUGCCAGAGCCCAGGUGGGCGUGGGGGCCGAGGAAGCGCUCGCCACCCAGUGAGCCAGGCUCCAGAGGCCUGGCACCAGCGGGAGAGGUGGCAGCUGUCAGCGCCCAGGAGAAGCGUUUCAGAGACACAAGAAUAGCCUGACCACAAGACAGGGAGGCGCUGCCUCUGAAACAUCGUCUUCCUCACUGGAGUGGAAAAGACCAGAUGUUGGGAGGCCCUGAGGCUUCCGGAACCUGCUAGGAGUUGCAGCUCAUCUCCAGGUAGACCAGCUUCCCUGGCAGAGCCCCGAGCCCUGGGCCUGGGGUGGGCACCCUUGCGGAAAAGGCCCACAUCUGGCUUGUGCGCAUCAUGUUCUAUAAGACGCCCUCCCCUGCAGCUGAUGUCCCUGAUGAGAAAGCGUCACUCCGGCCACCGCCCAGCAGAAGAUGGUCUACGCUUUUAUUCUCUACGUGAGACCCUCCACCAGAAAGUGUUGACAGAGCCUGGAUCCCAGCAUGAGCCCCAGCAAACACAUGCAGACCUCAGCUCUACCCUGAUAAAAAUGUUUUCCACUGAUUCAGAAAAGAAAAAACAUCUUCAUUGCAGCAUUGUUCACAACAGCCAAAAUGUGGAAACAACCCAAGUGCCCAUCAGUAAUAGAUGAAUGGAUAAACAACAUGUGGUACUUCAGUGGAAUAUUAUUCAGCCAUAAAAAGGGAUGAAACGGUGACAAUUACAACAGAGGCGGACCACAGAAACAUGACACUAAGUGAAAUGAGCCAGAUACAGAAGGACAAAUAUUGUAUGAUCCCACUUAGUACCUAGAAUAGGCAAACUCAGAGAAAAUAGAAUAGAUGUCACCAGGGACUAGGGGGAGGUAGAACAAGGGAGUUAUUAUUUAAUGGGUUCAGAGUUUUUGUUCAAGAUAAUGAAAAAGAUUGGGAAACAGAAGCAGACAGUGGUGAUGGUAACACCUGAUCCUCUGGGUCCCUGGACCCAGGUUUAGGCAGAUCGAACCUGCAUCCUCAUGGAUCAUAGCCAGGUUCGUUUCGUUAACCACUGAGCUAUGACGGGAACUCCCAAAGAAAUCAUUUUUAUAAAACCCUAUAAAAGUUUGAAAACCAGGAGUUCCCGUUGUGGCACAGAGGAAACAAAUCCAACUAGGAACCUUGAGGUUGUGGGUUCGAUCCCUGGUCUUGCUCAGUGAGUUGAGGAUCCGCUGUUUCUGUGAGCUGUGGUGUAGGUUGCAGACGCGGCUCAGAUCUGGUGUUGCUGUGGCUGUGGUGUAGGCCAGCAGCUGUAGCUCCGAUUGGAGCCCUAGCCUGGAUAUGCUGUGGGUGCAGACCUAAAAAGGACAAAAAGACCAAAAAAAAAAAAAAAAAAGUGUGAAAACCACUCUGCUGGGGCAAAGGGUAGAUGGACCAUUGGUUCUUUGAGCUGCCCUGCGUUGAAAGACUCUGUGGUCAAAUGAGUUGGGAAACCUGAUUCACUGUAUCCCCUUCUUGGCAAAAAAUAAUACACAUUGAUAUAUUAAAGCCUCUGAGAAGUCUUGCAGUGGAGAAUAUCUUCUUGGAUUUUUUUUUAUUUGAUUUUAUUUUAUUUUUUGCUUUUUAGGGUAGAAUCAGAGCUGCAGCAUGCAGCCACAGCCAUAGUCACAGGAAUGCAGGAUCCAAGCCGCAUCUGAGACUCACACCACAGCAACGCCAGAUACUUAACUCAUUGAGCAGGGCCAGGGACUGAACCGGCAACCUCCACGGAUACUAGUCGGGUUCAGUACCGCUGAGCCACAGCAGGAACUCCCUCUUCUUGAACUUUUUAAACUCACUGAUUCCCAAGAUGAUUCAAUCAUAAGAUCUAUUGUCUACUAGCACCAGUUAACACCCUGGAGAACCAGUGUCUCAUGAAACCCGAAUUGGAAACUCGGGCUGAAGAUCUCUAGGGCCUCUUCUGAGCCUGCUGUUCUUAGAUCCCUACAAGGAGUGGCAGAAGGACCUGGGGACAAGGAGAGGGGAUCUUAUCUGAGAGAUCUGUCAUUGGAAGAGGCGGCCGUUUUGUACCAUGGCCCCCUCACAGAAAGCCUGCCUUAAACACUUAGCUCUUCAGGAGUUCCCAUUGUGGCUCUGUGAGUUAAGAACCUGACUAGUAUCCCUGAGGAUUCAGGUUCAAUCCCAGGCCUCGCUCAGUGGGUUAAGGAUCCGGCGUUGCCUCAAGCUGCAGCUCGGGUCACAGAUGAGGCUCAGAUCCUGUGUUGCUAUGGCUGUUGUGCAGGCUGGCAGCUGCAGCUCUGAUUCAACCCCUAGCUUGGGAACUUCCAUAUGCCAUCAGUGUGGCCCUAGAAAGAAAAACAAAACAAAAAAACUGAGCUCUUCUAACUUACUGGUGAAGGUAUGAAGUGGAUCAGCUUUUUAAAAAUAAAAACAUCAUUUUUGCAACA